GCUUGGUGUUGGACGGCUUGGUGGCGGCCUUCGGGCGGCGACCCCUCCUAAAGACAAUGACGGCGGCCUGUGGUUCCCCCGGUACACUGAGCUUUUUACGAGGCACGUAUCGGACAGCGCCCGGGACCCGGUCCUUCUGCGUUUCGGCGCAAAUUAUCAAGGUUGACCUCGGAUCAGGUAGGAAUACGCGCUGAACUUAA
rnacentral:misc_RNA from 1 species